rnacentral:rRNA from 1 species
CCUACGGGAGGCAGCAGUGGGGAAUAUUGGGCAAUGGGCGCAAGCCUGACCCAGCAACGCCGCGUGAAGGAAGAAGGCUUUCGGGUUGUAAACUUCUUUUCUCAGGGACGAAGAAAGUGACGGUACCUGAGGAAUAAGCCACGGCUAACUCCGUGCCAGCAGCCGCGGUAAUCCGUAGGUGGCAAGCGUUAUCCGGAUUUACUGGGUGUAAAGGGCAUGUAGGCGGGACUGCAAGUCAGAUGUGAAAACUACGGGCUCAACCUGUGGACUGCAGUUGAAACUGUAGUUCUUGAGUACUGGAGAGGCAGACGGAAGUCCUAGGGUAGCGGUGAAAUGCGUAGAUAUUAGGAGGAACACCAGUGGCGAAGGCGGUCUGCUGGACAGCAACUGACGCUGAGGCGCGAAAGCGUGGGGAGCAAACAGGAUUAGAUACCCUUGUAGUC